rnacentral:rRNA from 1 species
AUAAGAUUGUAGUAUCGCAUGAUAUAGCAAUUAAAGGAAGCAAUUCGCUAUAAGAUGGACCCGCGCCGCAUUAGCUAGUUGGUGAGGUAAUGGCUCACCAAGGCGACGAUGCGUAGCCGACCUGAGAGGGUGAACGGCCACAUUGGGACUGAGACACGGCCCAGACUCCUACGGGAGGCAGCAUG